rnacentral:rRNA from 1 species
UACGUAGGUUGAGAGCGUUGUCCGGAAGUAUUGGGCUUAAAGAGCUCGUAGGCGGUUUGUCGCGUCUGCUGUGAAAACCCGAGGCUCAACCUCGGGCCUGCAGUGGGUACGGGCAGACUAGAGUGCGGUAGGGGAGAAUGGAACUCCUGGUGUAGCGGUGGAAUGCGCAGAUAUCAGGAGGAACACCAAUAGCGAAGGCAGCUCGCUGGGACGUUACUGACACUGAGGCGCGAAAGCGUGGGGAGCGAACAGG